rnacentral:lncRNA from 7 species
GGCAAGUCAGAAGGUGAUGUGGGAUGAUUCACAAGUCAGGGCAAGGAUGGAAGGAGUGUUUUAAACAGGCUUGUGGAGUGGUUAGUGAGGCCUUAUACGAGCUGACAGCUUGCAAGAACUGAAGACUGAUACGAUCCACCCUUCAUUCUUUGUCUUGAAAGAGAUCGUUGCAGGACAGAUCAAGCCCUUGCAGAAAGGCAGAAUUUGAAGAAAAGCGUAGCAAGAGUGAACUGUGGAUGGCGAUUCUUGUGAUUCCAACUACGUGUCAAGAGGAGCAACUUCCCUAGUUGUGUGCCUGUGCUUCUGUUUGAUUCAAGGCUCUCGAACCAUCUCUUGGCAGGACGUGCAGCACAAUAGCUCACAUUGAGGUAUUUUCAGUGCUGUAAGCAGUCAGUUCUCAAGGCCAGCUUUGUCCUCCCUUUGGAUUUCAGAGGAAAGAAUCACUGUCAUCAACGGCUGCAUCUGUGGGUUUGCAACAUUAGGACAGAAUGAUGGAGGGCAGCACCACUGGGAAUAAAACAGUGACGCUGUAAACUUUGCAUAAGCCAGUGCUUGCCUCUCAGAAACAUGUUUAAAGGAUUGCUGUUCUCUCCCAUAUGAUUUAUGUUGUGUUACUCGGGCAGUGUGGAAUCUUGGACUGUUGUCCCACCUUCCAUCCGAUCACAGAAAAGAAAGUCCAUCCAUGAGCCAAAUGUUCAGUCAGCAGACUGGCACAGGGUUUAUAGCUGGCUUACCUGCACUGAAGCCCUCAGACACAAGGGAGAAACACCAAGGUGCUCAGCUCAGCAGUCCUCUUUCCAGUUCAUUUGGUAGUAGCUCUAAAUUAUAGAGCAUCCCUUGAGGAAAUGCCAGGAGUUUGAUGGGAAAUGUAACAGACAGUUUUGUUUGCUGGACUAAUAUUGAUUGUUUUGGAAAUAGCUUAUAGUUGU